UGCGUAGGUGGCGAGCGUUGUCCGGAUUUACUGGGCGUAAAGGGCGUGCAGGCGGUUUGUUAAGUGCAGGGUGAAAGCUCCCGGCUCAACUGGGAGAGGUCCUUGCAUACUGGCGAACUCGAGGGAGGCAGAGGAAAGUGGAAUUCCCGGUGUAGUGGUGAUAUGCGUAGAUAUCGGGAGGAACACCCGUAGCGAAGGCGGCACUCUGGGCCGGAACUGACGCUGAGGAGCGAAAGCGUGGGGAGCGAACAGG
rnacentral:rRNA from 1 species